GACGAACGCUGGCGGCGUGCUUAACACAUGCAAGUCGAACGGUGACGAGGAGCUUGCUCCUCUGAUCAGUGGCGAACGGGUGAGUAACACGUGAGUAACCUGCCCCAGACUCUGGAAUAACAGUUGGAAACAGCUGCUAAUACCGGAUACGAGACGGAGAGGCAUCUCUACCGUCUGGAAAGUUUUUCGGUCUGGGAUGGACUCGCGGCCUAUCAGCUUGUUGGUGAGGUAAUGGCUCACCAAGGCGACGACGGGUAGCCGGCCUGAGAGGGCGACCGGCCACACUGGGACUGAGACACGGCCCAGACUCCUACGGGAGGCAGCAGUGGGGAAUAUUGCACAAUGGGCGAAAGCCUGAUGCAGCAACGCCGCGUGAGGGAUGACGGCCUGGUGUAACGUACUUUCUAGUAGGGUAAGAAGACGAAAGUAGACGGUACCGUACACGAAGAAGAC
rnacentral:rRNA from 1 species